CGAACCUCUGGAAAGCAGCAAUGCGCCGAAGAAGCAACUUCCCCUUUGCAGCAUAAGAGGAAGGAAUCUCUCAGGCACCAAGACAGAGACGU
rnacentral:ncRNA from 1 species